CGCGGCCUAUCAGCUUGUUGGCGAGGUAACGGCUCACCAAGGCAACGACGGGUAGCUGGUCUGAGAGGAUGGCCAGCCACAUUGGGACUGAGAUACGGCCCAGACUCCUACGGGAGGCAGCAGUGGGGAAUCUUGCGCAAUGGCCUAACGGCUGACGCAGCGACGCCGCGUGUGGGAUGAAGCUCCUCGGAGUGUAAACCACUGUUGCCCGGGACGAAUAGCUCGAUUAAUCGAGCCUGACGGUACCGGGUGAGGAAGCACCGGCUAACUCCGUGCCAGCAACCGCGGUAAUACGGGGGGUGCGAGCGUUGUCCGGAAUCACUGGGCGUAAAGGGCGCGUAGGUGGUUUGAUAAGGGUGUGGUGAAAGUCCGGGGCUCAACCCCGGAUCUGCCGUGCCGACUGUCAAACUCGAGGACUGUAGAGGCAGACGGAAUUCCGGGUGUAGCGGUGGAAUGCGUAGAGAUCCGGAGGAAGACCGGUGGCGAAGGCGGUCUGCUGGGCAGUUUCAGACACUGAGGCGUGACAGCGUGGGGAGCAAACAGGAUUAGAUACCCUGGUAGUCCACGCCGUAAACGAUGGGUACUAGGUGCCUGGGGGAGCGACCCUCUGGGUGCCGGCGCUAACGCAGGAAGUACCCCGCC
rnacentral:rRNA from 1 species